GUAGACCAUCGACAGGUAGUCCAACGACAGGUAGACCAACGAUAGGUAGACCAACGACAGGUAGACCAACGAUAGGUAGACCAACGACAGGUAGUCCAUCCAAAGGCAGACCAACGACAGGUAGUCCAACGACAGGUAGACCAACGACAGGUAGACCAACGACAGGUAGUCCAACGACAGGUAGUCCAUCGACGGGUAGACCAUCGACAGGUAGUCCAUCCAAAGGUAGACCAACGACAAGUAGACCAUUGACAGGUAGUCCAUCGACAGGUAGACCAUCGACAGGUAGACCAUCGACAGGUAGGACCAUCCAAAGGUAGACCAACGACAGGUAGUCCAUCGACAAGUAGUCCAUCGACAAGUAGUCCAUCGACAGAUAGACCAACGACAGGUAGUCCAACGACAGGUAGACCAUCGACAGGUAGUCCAUCCAAAGGUAGACCAACGACAGGUAGACCAUUGACAGGUAGACCAUCCAAAGGCAGACCAACGACAGGUAGUCCAACGACAGGUAGACCAACGACAGGUAGACCAACGACAGGUAGUCCAUCCAAAGGCAGACCAACGACAGGUAGUCCAACGACAGGUAGACCAACGACAGGUAGUCCAACGACAGGUAGUUCAUCGACAGGUAGACCAUCGACAGGUAGUCCAUCCAAAGGUAGACCAUUGACAGGUAGUCCAUCGACAGGUAGACCAACGACAGGUAGACCAACAACAGGUAGACCAUCGACAGGUAGUCCAUCCAAAGGUAGACCAUCGACAGGUAGUCCAUCGACAGGUAGACCGUCCAAAGGUAGACCAUCGACAGGUAGUCCAUCGACAGGUAGACUGUCCAAAGGUAGACCAACGACAGGUAGUCCAUCCAAAGGUAGACCAACGACAGGUAGUCCAUCGACAGGUAGGACCAUCGACAGGUAGACCAUCGACAGGUAGACUGUCCAAAGGUAGACCAAAUACAGGUAGUCCAUCCAAAGGUAGUCCAUCGACAGGUAGUCCAUCGACAGGUAGACCAUCGACAGGUAGACCGUCCAAAGGUAGACCAACGACAGGUAGUCCAUCCAAAGGUAGACCAUCGACAGGUAGUCCAACGACAGGUAGUCCAUCCAAAGGUAGACCAUCGACAGGUAGUCCAUCGACAGGUAGUCCAUCGACAGGUAGGACCAUCGACAGGUAGACCGUCCAAAGGUAGACCAUCGACAGGUAGUCCAUCGACAGGUAGGACCAUCGACAGGUAGACCGUCCAAAGGUAGUCCAUCGACAGGUAGACCAUCGACAGGUAGUCCAACGACAGGUAGUCCAAUGACAGGUGAGUUCAGAUUUCCUCUUCCUGU